AUUGAACGCUGGCGGCAUGCCUUACACAUGCAAGUCGAACGGCAGCACGGGUGCUUGCACCUGGUGGCGAGUGGCGAACGGGUGAGUAAUACAUCGGAACAUGUCCUGUAGUGGGGGAUAGCCCGGCGAAAGCCGGAUUAAUACCGCAUACGAUCUACGGAUGAAAGCGGUGGACCUUCGGGCCUCGCGCUAUAGGGUUGGCCGAUGGCUGAUUAGCUAGUUGGUGGGGUAAAGGCCUACCAAGGCGACGAUCAGUAGCUGGUCUGAGAGGACGACCAGCCACACUGGGACUGAGACACGGCCCAGACUCCUACGGGAGGCAGCAGUGGGGAAUUUUGGACAAUGGGCGAAAGCCUGAUCCAGCAAUGCCGAGUGUGUGAAGAAGGCCUUCGGGUUGUAAAGCACUUUUGUCCGGAAAGAAAUCCUUGGCCCUGAUACGGUCGGGGGAUGACGGUACCGGAAGAAUAAGCACCGGCUAACUACGUG
rnacentral:rRNA from 1 species